UACGAAGGGGGCGAGCGUUGUUCGGAAUUACUGGGCGUAAAGGGCGCGUAGGCGGCCGAUCAAGUCAGAUGUGAAAGUCCUGGGCUUAACCUGGGGGCUGCAUUUGAUACUGAUUGGCUUGAAUUCGGGAGAGGAUAGCGGAAUUCCCAGUGUAGAGGUGAAAUUCGUAGAUAUUGGGAAGAACACCGGUGGCGAAGGCGGCGAGCUGGUCCAUUACUGACGCUGAGGCGCGACAGCGUGGGGAGCAAACAGG
rnacentral:rRNA from 1 species